AGGGUCUGGGGAGAAAAAAGGGUGCACGAUAAAUUGCUUGCUUUCAGAGCUGUUCACACUAUUGAUUUUGUUGGCACAUGGACUUCUUUCCUGUAGGCGCAGGCAAACUCUCUAAGACUGAUUUACCAAGUUGUGGAUGGGUUACAAUUUCAUGAUCUGAAUUGGUAAAGGGUGUUCCCGUUCAAUCGAACCAAUGUUUAAAGGAAUCUUUCAAUAAGGUGAAGAAUUACUUCAUAAUCAUUCUUUACCAUCCUCUUUAUCAAAUGCCACCCCAAAGAUUAAGCUGCCCAUGCCUGAAACAUCUGACAUACUACAACGCUAAAAUCCCCCAAACACCACCUUAAUAUGAUACCUGCCCAGGGACCUGCAAGCUAUAAGGUAAGCUGGCACUUUUUCUCUUACUGAGUCUUCGAUUUGAAGAUUAUAAAUCUGUUCUCUACAGAGGCCUUUUUUUUCUUCUUCCUGUUUUAAAUGACACUUCAUCCAAACACAUGGUUUCCAACUCCCACCAACAUCAAGGCCCCAGUCAGAACACAGGCAAGCCUAACAUCUCACUUCAAAGAGAUGCCAGUUCUUCAGAUACAGCUGUAUCUAGGGCAGAUGAAAACCCCAAAAUCAUCACAGUUAAAGCAUGAACUUGUACAAGGAGGGAGAGAGACUGCUGAUGGGGAAUCUGGCAGGACUGCUGUGAUGGGAUAGGAAAAAAGGGAGAAUUGACUUAACAAAAUAGAGAAGGCUACCUAUACUCACUGCUCCUUUUCUUUUCUGCUGAGUUACGCUGUGUCCCAAGAGAAAAUCUGAAACCACCAUGUACUACAGGGAGGCUUAGCAUCUACUAGCCCCUUCUGGAGGCAAUUAGGUGGUACAGUGGAUAAAGCCCUGGGUCUAGGAAGACUUGAAUUCAAGUCUGGUCUCAGAUACUUAC